AAUCCGAUAUACUUCUUUAUUGGAAUAUCCAAUAUCCUAUUUAAUUCAUGAAUGCAUGUAUAUGUUUUUCAUGAAUUCACUCACAGUUAUAUAGCGUAAAGCUCUUCAUUUACUAUGUGGAACACUAUCCAACAUACUUCAUCAUUAAGAUUUAACAAAACCUUAAUAUUCUUCAUUUAUACUUCAGACAUGAUUAACAAUCAAUUAAAGAUUAGCAGUGAGCAUUAUAAGCAUCAACAUGCAUCAACAAUCAUGUAAGAAUACCAUUAUCAUGAAGAAUAAGACACUGAUUUGAAACUACAUGCAAAGGAAGAUAGCAGAUGAAA
rnacentral:lncRNA from 1 species